GUAAAUAGGAGGGAGAAAGGAAGAAGAAGAAGAAGAAGAGAAGGGAGAAGGCUUUCCCCUUGGAUUCCGUAGCCAUAUUUUACCUUUUCAUUGCCGGAAUAGUCAUCGGUGCCUUGGGAUCUAUGUUUUGAGGUUUCAAGACACUUGUCUUCACUUUGGAUCUUACCCAUACCGCUAGUGCAGAUUCUUCUACAAGAAUAAGUAAGUGGGGAGAGGACUUUGAUCUUAUUUUCAAAAUAUUUUUGGCAUCCUAUGCAUUCAUAUACUAUAUUGACAUUCCGAUUGUCAUUCCUAUGCAUAUGCUUGAUGUACGAAUGAUGAAUUUAGAAUUGAACAUGUUGUAUCUUAAAUUCUA